rnacentral:rRNA from 1 species
GAUGAACGCUGGCGGCGUGCCUAAUACAUGCAAGUCGAGCGAACAGAUGAGGAGCUUGCUCCUCUGACGUUAGCGGCGGACGGGUGAGUAACACGUGGAUAACCUACCUAUAAGACUGGGAUAACUUCGGGAAACCGGAGCUAAUACCGGAUAAUAUAUUGAACCGCAUGGUUCAAUAGUGAAAGACGGUUUUGCUGUCACUUAUAGAUGGAUCCGCGCCGCAUUAGCUAGUUGGUAAGGUAACGGCUUACCAAGGCAACGAUGCGUAGCCGACCUGAGAGGGUGAUCGGCCACACGGGAACUGAGACACGGUCCAGACUCCUACGGGAGGCAGCAGUAGGGAAUCUUCCGCAAUGGGCGAAAGCCUGACGGAGCAACGCCGCGUGAGUGAUGAAGGUCUUCGGAUCGUAAAACUCUGUUAUUAGGGAAGAACAAAUGUGUAAGUAACUAUGCACGUAUUGACGGUACCUAAUCAGAAAGCCACGGCUAACUACGUG